CAAAUCAGCUAGGACUAAAGGCUGAACAAUAGUACAUCUAAUUAAUGUUCAUGACCCAGGCUGAUAAAGGAGAUCUGGGUUUCUCUCUGCAUUUCCAUUCAUCACUAUAAAUCUGCAUGUACCCAUACUAAAGACAUGCUGGUAGCAUCAGCCGUGGAGUGAGAAUUAAUCCUACUAAUGGUGAGUGCCUUGCCUUUCAGCAAACCAGCUAAGACUAAUGGCUGAACAAUACCACAUCUAAUUAAUAUUCAAGAGCCAGGCUGAUAAGGUUAAUAAAGGAGGUCCAUGUAACCUGGAGAAAGUCAUCUGUUCACAUUCCCAUUCAUCUCUAUAAACCUGCAUGUUUCCAUACCCUGCUAGAUGAACCCAACCUAUUCUUUCUCAUCCUCUGCGACACAAGUUGGAUGUUCCAGCAGAUAAAACAGCAGCUCACUUGUCAAUUUAUGGACUCCAGCCACAAGAGGAACAGGAGCCAAAGCUCAGCACGGUGUGAGAAGGUUGCCCUCAGGCAAGCAUGAGACUGGCCUUGGUAAUUGGCACCAGUGAACGAGAGGGUCCUGGCACGACUCCGAAAACCAGAGGUGAGACUAACCCCUGUGGAUCCCAGUAGUACCCUUGAGAGCUUUUUCCUAGGGGCAUUAUUAACCGCCUCCAUGAGUCUGCAAAAGCUUGGAAUACAGUAAAAUAUGCACUGUGUAGCCAUAGCAUGGCAUUUUAAAUUGUUUAUUGUUAAAGUGGUAAAAAGUGUAGUGAGAAAAUUCAACCUGAUUUAAGUCGUGUGGUUAACUGCAAGGAGUCUCAUAAGUCAUAUCCACAAAUGUGACAGACCACAAGGGACACUUCAUUAUGUCAAUAACCUGGUAGCCCCACCCACACCGCAAACUCAUUGGACUCCUAGUCCUGCCCCUUAUGCAUAGUAAACAUCAAAUGUGGAUGUAAAGAGAUUGUAGAAGUUUAGAAUUCGAUAAAAGGUUACAAAUCCCU
ensembl:lncRNA